GAUGAACGCUGGCGGCGUGCUUAACACAUGCAAGUCGAACGGAAAGGCCCUGCUGUUGUGGGGUGCUCGAGUGGCGAACGGGUGAGUAACACGUGAGUAACCUGCCCUUGACUUUGGGAUAACUUCAGGAAACUGGGGCUAAUACCGGAUAGGAGCUCCUGAUCCAUGGUGGGGGUUGGAAAGUUGCGGCGGUUGGAGAUGGACUCGCGGCUUAUCAGCUUGUUGGUGGGGUAGUGGAUGACGAAGGCUUUGACGGGUAGCCGGCCUGAGAGGGUGACCGGCGACAAUGGGACUACGAUACGGCCCAGACGCCUACGGGAGGCAGUGGUGGGGAAUAUUGCACAGUGGGCGCGCGCCUGAGGCAGCGACGCCGCGUUCGGGAUGACGGCCUUCGGGGUGUGAACAGCUUUCGCCUGUGACGAAGCGUGAGUGACGGUAAUGGGUAAAGAAGCACCGGCUAACUACGUG
rnacentral:rRNA from 1 species